AUACGGAGGGUGCAAGCGUUGUUCGGAAUCACUGGGCGUAAAGGGCGCGCAGGCGGUUUUACAAGUCAGAUGUGAAAGCCCACGGCUCAACCGUGGAAGUGCAUUUGAAACUGUAAGACUUGAGUAUCAGAGGGGAAGGUGGAAUUCCCGGUGUAGAGGUGAAAUUCGUAGAUAUCGGGAGGAAUACCGGUGGCGAAGGCGACUUUCUGGCUAGAUACUGACGCUGAGGCGCGAAAGCGUGGGGAGCAAGCAGGAUUAGAAACCCUAGUAGUCC
rnacentral:rRNA from 1 species